CCUAAUUACUUGAAUUAAUCGACUUAUUCACCAAAACUAGUGACGAUCCUAAUUAGCAAAACUCAAGAAAUCCCUAUUUAUCCUAGCAAGAAAAACAGUGGCAAUGCUAAUUAACAAGAAUUAAACGAGAUUAACUCUAAUUAGAAUAAAUUAAUGAGGGUUGAGGAUGAACAUUCUAGCUAUGGGCCAUGGGGGAUUAUGAAUGGAUUGAGAAAGGUGUAUGCAGAAAACUGCUUGCAAUUGGAUCUUCUUGUGUUUGGGUCAUCCCCAUUUGGAACUAGCCCAAUAUCGGCACGCCCGUGACCCGAAUCUAACACAUACUUAACCAUGGCCACACUUUCGUAGAUCCCAUACACGAGCUCCUGGCGCGUUUGUGAAGAACGCAACUUAACCUCACACAGAAAGGCAAAACCAACGCAAAAUAGCUUCACGCCCCAUCUCAACAUCAUCGAAAGCGAAUACAAGAUGGAAACCGCCAUCAAAAACUCUCGCGCGCGGGGCGAACAAAUUCGAAAGGGAAGAGACGACCUACCUGAUUUGAAGGGAAGAGACGACGCACCCGAUGAUGUUCGUCGUUAUACGUUUCGUCGAUUGAGAAGACGAUUGUUGGAUUCCCUGGAUUGUUGCCUUAUCGAUGAUGAAGAACGCGUAGUCGUUGAUAAAGGGUGUCGCAUUGAAGUAUGCGAUGGCCGUUGGAUUUUUCGUUUCCGAUUCCGUUGUAUGGGUUGGUAGGUUACCGGUAGUUGGAUUUCGGAUUCGUAAAUUGCCUAUAGUUGGAGGUCGAGGGGAGUCGAGUGUGUAUUUGUUUCUUGCAGGGUGUUGAAGAAAACGGUUGGGAAGAAAAACAGAAGAUGAAUUCCGUUCCCCCCGGGCGCAAGGGAAGCAAUUUUUUUGGUUAAGUAAGUUGUUGGAGUUUUUUGUUAUGGAAUUGUGUGUUUAUUCUUAUUUCCCGAUUCUUUGUUUUCUUCAAACCUUGCUUAUAGAUUCUACUUUUGUGUAUGGUUUCAACGAAUUGGAGGAUGGAGGAGUAUGGUUUGGAAUCGCAGAAGAUGGUAUUGAGGGUUGAUAAUGGACUCCAGGUUGAGGCUGUGUGAGAAUAGGAGUAUAGAGGGUGAGGAAAUGGUUGGUUGAAGAUUGUGAGAGGUGAGGGAAGGUUCUGUUCGGAAUUGGAGUUGCAGGGUGAGUUUUGGAGGUGGUUCGAGGGUUGAAUACUUCGGUGAAGAUGGAGAGUGGUGAGUGAUGGAAGUUCUCUCUUUUUUGAAGAAUGGUGGUGGUGAAGGACCUUUGUUAUGGAGGGUUGAGAGGUUUUUUAUGUUGGAAGAAUGAGGAGAAGAAAAGAGUUUGUUGGAGGAGUUAGGAAACAGUUAGAGGUUAGAGGUUGUUACAAAAAUCUGAUUCAGUUGGGCGGUUGGUUCCAUUGAAAAGUUGGUCCUUGGAUUAAGAGAAGUGAGGUUCUUAUAUGGGUUUUUGAAUGGUUGAAGGAGAUUUGAAGACGUUGAUGGGAGAGUUUUGUUUUUCGGUUAUGAUUCUGCCAGCUCCUCUUCAAUUCCGUUACAAGUUAGUGGGCAAUUUAUUAUUACAAAAAUAGUUGUCUUAAUAUCUUGUUAGAGGAUAAUUUUUUUUUUCAAUAUCACUACAUCUCAGUGUCAAUAUCAACCAUUUCGUGCAUUCAAAUCCAAUGCCAAGAAUGAACGAGUUUGCUAAAGUAAAUCAAACUUUAUGUGAUGAAGUGGUUCAGUGGUUUUGUUUGUUAUGUUUCAGUUAUUGCCGACCUUUUGUAAUUUGAUAUUUGCUGGUUCUUUAUGCAUGUUGGCGAUGUCGUGAUGUUGGUUAGAGAUUCUUGUUUCGUGAAUUAUUGGAAACGAAUUCGGUUCCGUUUUGGUUGUUGCCGCUGGAAGUUGGCGAGUGGAAGCAGUGGUUUAUUUGCAGCUUAGAGUUUGGCUUGUACAGCUGUUGUAUCCGCGUUUCAAUUGUCACUUCAUUCUCAUUUGCCGUUUGGAGCUGUUACAGUUUGAAUGCUGCGUUUUGUUGUUGGGUGUUGCGCUUGUGUAGCUUGUUGUGGCUGGUGGUGGUAUAUAACAGCUUUUAUACUGCUGCUGCUUUUUACUUCUUCUGCACAUCCAUCUUUUUCAAUUCAUUAAUUUAUUUGUGGAUAAUGUACAUGUAAUUGGACACACGGUUUGGAUAAACUGAUCAAAUUGAAAUGGUGAAUUGGAUAUGUAAAAAUUGGGUAAUUAGAUUGUUUGGA